rnacentral:rRNA from 1 species
GACGAACGCUGGCGGCGUGCUUAACACAUGCAAGUCGAACGAGACGAUUGAAAGCUUGCUUUUGAAAGUCGAGUGGCAAACGGGUGAGUAACGCGUAAACAACCUGCCUUUGAGAUGGGGACAACAGUUCGAAAGGACUGCUAAUACCGAAUGUUGUAUAUUUUCCACAUGGAAGAUAUAUUAAAGAUGGCCUCUAUUUAUAAGCUAUCGCUGAAAGAUGGGUUGGCGUCUGAUUAGCUGGUUGGUGGGGUAACGGCCUACCAAGGCGACGAUCAGUAGCCGGGCUGAGAGGAUUGACGGCCACAAUGGGACUGAGACACGGCCCAGACUCCUACGGGAGGCAGCAGUGGGGAAUCUUCCACAAUGGACGAAAGUCUGAUGGAGCAACGCCGCGUGAGUGAAGAAGGGUUUCGGCUCGUAAAGCUCUGUUGUCGGGGACGAAUGUGCACGAGGGGAAUAAAGUACUGCAAUGACGGUACCUGACGAGGAAGCCACGGCUAACUACGUGCCAGCCGCCGCCGUAA